UUCAACAUCCAAUUCGCGGAAAGCAGCGUUUUUGUAGCGUUUUCUGCAUUUCAGUGAUAUUCGACACCUACCCACACCUAUUCGAAACCCAAUCUAAGUUACCCACACUCAAACGAAGUCGGUUUUGUGGUGUUGAAUCGACGCAAGGUUUAGAAGCGUAGCAGGGGCGUGUGCGUGAGUGACUGAGUGCUAAUCGUAUUGGAUAACUCUUCGUGUUGUUGUUUUCAUUACUCUCGAAUUUUAUCUGGAUCGACGCCGAACAGAAGCUACUCCAUCGUGUGUUGUCGAAUUCACUACAACCACCGGAGGAUAGGACGCGCAGCCGUGGAGUGUCGUUGGAGAUGUCGGGUCUAUGCAGAACACGAAGUCGCCGCUGCUUCACAUGUUUCGCAGCCCUAGGUGGUGUCACUGGAGAGAAACAGUCAGGGAAAUGGCAUUUUCCAGUGAUGAUUUGCAUGGGGGCUAGGUGGUUGGAAUCGAUUGAAGAAGAUAAAGAAGUAGAUGGUGGAGAGGGGCGGCUACACAAUGAAAGGGAGGGGAAUAUAACAAGUUAGGAUUUCCUUUUCUUUUUCUUUUGUUUUAAUUCAAUUUCUUUAACCUUGUUUUGAAACCCAAAAACCUAAAUUCUCAUAAUCUUAAAGGAGGCUCGACUAAAUAAAACUAACGGUCCAAAACAAGAAGUCCAAAAAUUAUAUUUUAUUAAUUAAAGUAAAUCCCACAACAACCCAAAAUAAGAUAAUUUUUCUUAACUCUAAAACCCAAGAAUUAAAUCCGAAAAAGUAAGAAUCAAAUUUCCCAACAAACCUCAUAUCUAAAAAUUUAAUUAAAAGUCUCCUACAAACUCGAAAACUUAAUUCAUCUUAAUCCAAAAAAAUUAAACUUAAAUUCUAAUUUAAAUUCCAACUUACCCAAAAUUGGAGUUAAAAAAUCUACAAAAUCCAAUAACUUAAAUUAUCAGCUUAGGAGGAAAAUCCAAAGACACUAUUUAUCUCUUAAACUGAUGAGGCAGAGAACACGAAGCGUUACAGAAACGACUUCUCCUGUCUCUCCAGCGAUUUUCCACUAAACAGGUUUCCAAGACAAGUAAAUCAUAUUUACCUUCGUUGGCUUUCUUCUUAUCAGUCAGGUAUUUCAAGCAAUUUCGCUUCCAAUGCCCGUCCAUGUUGCAGUGGAAACAUUUUCCUUUGUCUGCAAUCUUGGCCUUGCCUUUCUUGGCAGCGACAGCAGUAUAGUCAGGUUUAGGCCUCUUACUAGCAGCCUUUUUCUUUUUGAAAGUCUUACUUCCUGAAUAAGAGGGCACCGACUUUGUUCUAGAGGUCGAACCUCAGUGGAACCUUUUUGAGGUGGCAACAGUUGCCUCCCCUUCCUAUCCCUUAUUUUUCAUAAGUGACUGGUAGGUCUGCAGCUCGUUUAAGAGCAUCGUAAGGGUAUACUUCAGCUUGUUCAUAAUCGCAUUGCUGCGAAAUUGAAGGAAGCUCUUUGGAAUAGAUUCCAAAAUGAAGCUGGCCUGAGUCUGCUCGUCUAUGAUAGUCUCGUUCGACUCUGCCACAUUAAAGUGGACCAUCAGGUUGAGAACGUGUUCUCGCACUGAUGAGCCCUCUUUUAUGCGGGAGUUGUAGACAAACUUAAGGGCUUCAUGACGAGCCUGUGAGAAUGUUUGUCCAAACAUGCUCUGCAUCGAGUCCAUGAUCUCCUUGGCGGUGACCGUGUUCUCGUGCUUCUUAGCAAGCACAUCAGAUAUGCUCGCCAAGAUGCCUUGAUCCACCUAUCAUAUGCGUUGCGCACCGCCACAACGGCGUUAGGUGCAGAAGCUUAAGGACACUCCUCUUGCAAGACGAACCUAAAAUCAUCUAUCACUAGUAUAGUGUUUAGGCUCGAUUUCCAUUGUUUAUAGUUUUCGCUGUUAAGUUUUUCCGCAGCUAAGAGUGCAAUUGUUGAAGUAGACAUGCUGAAAAUAAAAACAAACCUAUAUUAGUUUCAUGCACUAUCCUUUAAACCCAAUCAA